rnacentral:rRNA from 1 species
UACGUAGGGGCCGAGCGUUGUCCGGAGUUAUUGGGCGUAAAGCGCGCGCAGGCGGCUUCGCGCGCCCGACGUGAAAGCCCCCGGCUUAACCGGGGAGAGUCGUUGGGGACGGCGGAGCUUGAGGGCGGGAGAGGUCGGUGGAAUUCCCGGUGUAGUGGUGAAAUGCGUGGAGAUCGGGAGGAACACCUGUGGCGAAGGCGGCCGACUGGGCCGACCCUGACGCUGAGGCGCGAAGGCGUGGGGAGCGAACGGG